GACGAACGCUGGCGGCGUGCUUAACACAUGCAAGUCGAACGGAAAGGCCCUGCUUUUGUGGGGUGCUCGAGUGGCGAACGGGUGAGUAACACGUGAGUAACCUGCCCUUGACUUUGGGAUAACUUCAGGAAACUGGGGCUAAUACCGGAUAGGAGCUCCUGCUGCAUGGUGGGGGUUGGAAAGUUUCGGCGGUUGGGGAUGGACUCGCGGCUUAUCAGCUUGUUGGUUGGGUAGUGGCUUACCAAGGCUUUGACGGGUAGCCGGCCUGAGAGGGUGACCGGCCACCCUGGGACUGGGAUGCGGCCCAGACUCCGACUGGAGGCAGCAGUGGGGAACAUUGCAUCAUGGGGGGAACCCAGAUGAAGCCACGCCGCGUCCUGGAUGCCCGCCCUUGGGUUGUAAACCGCUUUCGCCUUUAAAGUAGCCGGAGUUACGGUUAUGGGUAAAGAAGCACCGGCUAACUACGUG
rnacentral:rRNA from 1 species